rnacentral:rRNA from 1 species
UACGAAGGGGGCUAGCGUUGCUCGGAAUCACUGGGCGUAAAGGGUGCGUAGGCGGGUCUUUAAGUCAGGGGUGAAAUCCUGGAGCUCAACUCCAGAACUGCCUUUGAUACUGAAGAUCUUGAGUCCGGGAGAGGUGAGUGGAACUGCGAGUGUAGAGGUGAAAUUCGUAGAUAUUCGCAAGAACACCAGUGGCGAAGGCGACUCUUUGGCCUGUAACUGACGCUGAGGCGCGAAAGCGUGGGGAGCAAACAGG